rnacentral:rRNA from 1 species
AGCUUGCUCUUAUGAAGUUAGCGGCGGACGGGUGAGUAACACGUGGGUAACCUGCCCAUAAGACUGGGAUAACUCCGGGAAACCGGGGCUAAUACCGGAUAACAUUUUGAACCGCAUGGUUCGAAAUUGAAAGGCGGCUUCGGCUGUCACUUAUGGAUGGACCCGCGUCGCAUUAGCUAGUUGGUGAGGUAACGGCUCACCAAGGCAACGAUGCGUACCCGACCUGAGAGGGUGAUCGGCCACACUGGGACUGAGACACGGCCCAGACUCCUACGGGAGGCAGCAGUAGGGAAUCUUCCGCAAUGGACGAAAGUCUGACGGAGCAACGCCGCGUGAGUGAUGAAGGCUUUCGGGUCGUAAAACUCUGUUGUUAGGGAAGAACAAGUGCUAGUUGAAUAAGCUGGCACCUUGACGGUACCUAACCAGAAAGCCACGGCUAACUACGUGCCAGCAGCCGCGGUAAUACGUAGGUGGCAAGCGUUAUCCGGAAUUAUUGGGCGUAAAGCGCGCGCAGGUGGUUUCUUAAGUCUGAUGUGAAAGCCCACGGCUCACCCGUGGAGGGUCAUUGGAAACUGGGAGACUUGAGUGCAGAAGAGGAAAGUGGAAUUCCAUGUGUAGCGGUGAAAUGCGUAGAGAUAUGGAGGAACACCAGUGGCGAAGGCGACUUUCUGGUCUGUAACUGACACUGAGGCGCGAAAGCGUGGGGAGCAACAGGAUUAGAUACCCUGGUA